CUAUGAUGAUAUAAAACCUUAAAUACGCUGGAAUUACCGGCAGACACUUGCUGUUGAGAUGGUCUUUCUGAGU